CCUACGGGCGGCUGCAGUGAGGAAUAUUGGUCAAUGGGCGCGAGCCUGAACCAGCCAAGUCGCGUGAGGGAAGACGGUCCUAUGGAUUGUAAACCUCUUUUGUCGGGGAGCAAAAGACGCCACGCGUGGCGUUCCGAGAGUACCCUAAGAAAAAGCAUCGGCUAACUCCGUGCCAGCAGCCGCGGUAAUACGGAGGAUGCGGGCGUUAUCCGGAUUUACUGGGUUAAAAGGGUGCGAAGGCGGAAGAUCAAGUCAGCGGUAAAAUUGAGAGGCUCAACCUCUUCGAGACGUUGAAACUGGUUGUCUUGAGUGAGCGAGAAGUAUGCGGAAUGCGUGGUGUAGCGGUGAAAUGCAUAGAUAUCACGCAGAACACCGAUUGCGAAGGCAGCAUACCGGCGCGCAACUGACGCUGAGGCACGAAAGUGUGGGUAGCGAACAGGAUUAGAUACCCUGGUAGUC
rnacentral:rRNA from 1 species